CUGGGGUGCCGAAGGACUCAUUCAAUAUUUGAAUCAUCUCCUCAGGCUGCACAUCCUUGAAUUUAUGACUAAAUUCAUUGUUCAUAGCUGUCCUCAUCAUGCAACGCACAAUCGUGUGAUCAUUGAGCCACUUCAUGUAAGUGUCUCUCGCAGCACGAGAAGCAUUGGCUGCAGGUUCUUCAGGUGCCUGAUCCGUAAGGAUAUAUAAAAUCCUCUCGUACUCUAACACGAUCUUC
rnacentral:lncRNA from 1 species